rnacentral:rRNA from 1 species
GACGAACGCUGGCGGCGUGCUUAACACAUGCAAGUCGAGCGGAAAGGCUCCUUCGGGAGUACUCGAGCGGCGAACGGGUGAGUAACACGUGAGUAACCUGCCUCUGACUUUGGGAUAACCCCGGGAAACCGGGGCUAAUACCGGGUAUGACCCGACCAGGCAUCUGGUUGGGUGGAAAGCUUUUGCGGUCAGGGAUGGGCUCGCGGCCUAUCAGAUUGUUGGUGGGGUGAUGGCCUACCAAGGCGACGACGGGUAGCCGGCCUGAGAGGGCGACCGGCCACACUGGGACUGAGACACGGCCCAGACUCCUACGGGAGGCAGCAGUGGGGAAUAUUGCCCAAUGGGCGAAAGCCUGAUGCAGCGACGCCGCGUGAGGGAUGACGGCCUUCGGGUUGUAAACCUCUUUCGACAGGGACGAAGCGCAAGUGACGGUACCUGGAGAAGAAGCGCCGGCCAACUACGUGCCAGCAGCCGCCGCCGUAA